UCCAGGCCCUACGGGGCGCAGCAGGCGCGAAACCUCCGCAAUGUGAGAAAUCGCGACGGGGGGACCCCAAGUGCCAUUCUUAACGGGAUGGCUUUUCUUAAGUGUAAAAAGCUUUUGGAAUAAGAGCUGGGCAAGACCGGUGCCAGCCGCCGCGGUAACACCGGCAGCUCUAGUGGUGGCCAGUUUUAUUGGGCCUAAAGCGUUCGUAGCCGGUUUAUUAAGUCUCUGGUGAAAUCCCGUAGCUUAACUAUGGGAAUUGCUGGAGAUACUAGUAGACUUGAGGUCGGGAGAGGUUAGAGGUACUCCCAGGGUAGGGGUGAAAUCCUGUAAUCCUGGGAGGACCACCUGUGGCGAAGGCGUCUAACUGGAACGAACCUGACGGUGAGGGACGAAAGCUAGGGGCGCGAACCGGAUUAGAUACCCGGGUAGUCCUAGCCGUAAACGAUGCGGACUUGGUGUUAGGAUGGCUUUGAGCCGCUCUAGUGCCGAAGGGAA
rnacentral:rRNA from 1 species